AAACUAACAAGGAUUCCCCUAGUAGCGGCGAGCGAAGCGGGAAGAGCUCAAAUUUAUAAUCUGGCACCUUCGGUGUCCGAGUUGUAAUCUCUAGAAGUGUUUUCCGCGUUGGACCGCACACAAGUCUGUUGGAAUACAGCGGCAUAGUGGUGAAACCCCCGUAUAUGGUGCGGACGCCCAGCGCUUUGUGAUACACUUUCAAUGAGUCGAGUUGUUUGGGAAUGCAGCUCAAAUUGGGUGGUAAAUUCCAUCUAAAGCUAAAUAUUGGCGAGAGACCGAUAGCGAACAAGUACCGUGAGGGAAAGAUGAAAAAGCACUUUGGAAAGAGAGUUAACAGUACGUGAAAUUGUUGGAAGGGAAACGCUUGAAGUCAGACUUGCUUGCCGGAGCUUGCUUCGGUUUGCAGGCCAGCAUCAGUUUUCCGGGGUGGAUAAUGACGGUUUGAAGGUAGCAGUCUCGGCUGUGUUAUAGCUUUCCGUUGGAUACAUCCUGGGGGACUGAGGAACGCAGCGUGCUUUUUGCGAAAGACUCGUCUUUUUCACGCUUAGGAUGCUGGUGGAAUGGCUUUAAACGAC
rnacentral:rRNA from 1 species